rnacentral:lncRNA from 1 species
CCUUCUCCUGUGCCCUCUCCAAUUGGACGUCUGGCCUCGCGGAGUUCCUCGUAUUCUCCACCACCCCCAUCAAAGCCGGUGGCCCCCUCCGGGGCUCUUGGAGUCUCCUGUAGUCAACACUUUGGCGCAAGGCCACGCGCCUCUCUGACUUUCCAGGGCCUCUGCUGCGGAACACCGGGUGGGCUGGCCCAGGGCAGGGUCGGUGCACCUUGUCUGGGAAGGCAAGGGUCCGGGAGAUGGGAGCACCCGCCAAGUCUGUGGGGCCCGCGCGGUGACUCCGGCACAUGGCUGGACCCUGCAGCCUCCCGCCACCAUCUGUCGUCAUCAGUCACCAACUUUGGUAAGAAGGGCUCGCUCAGGCUCUCGUGCCCUUCAAGGGGCAGAAUUGGGAGUGUCAGCAGCUCCCGCCCGCCACCCCGGACAGAUGAGAGGGAGAGGCUUCGGGAUCCGGACAUGUCCUUUGAAAAGGAAGCUAGGCUGCCCCCCGCGUCUGGAUUGUUCCCACCUACGGUUGACGACGAAUUAAAGCAGUAACAGCCAGAGCGGAAGCGGGGCUCAUGCGCGGGCUCGUGCGCGGCGGCAGGUGCGCGCCCAGCAGAUGCAGCACCCUCGCGAGUGAGAAGUUAGUAAACUCACGAGUGCAGAACCACCGCCAGAGGGGGAUCGCCUUCGGGUAUGAACUUACGUCUCCAUUUACUGCAACUCCUCACCGGGUUCUAUUUGAUUUGGGGGCAAUGCGGCUUUCCCUUUCCUUCCUCUUCCAGAAACGUCCCCAAACCCUGUACUAAGACUUUUUGGAACCUUCCUUCUUACUGGGGGACUUUUGGAAGGAUCCAUGAGUUUGGCGGGGGGUAGGGGCGGGUACUAACGGCCCGCUGAAUGUCGAAGAGCCUUUCUCUACACCUGGAGCCUCGCAACAAAUCCUCCCAACUGGUCUUAGACUGGUGUUUCCUUUAUGAGUUGUGCGUGGCUUACAGUAGCGGGUCAACGCCAGUGUUACUGUCAUAUAUAUAUAUAUAUAUAUAUAUAUAUAUAUAUAUAUAUAUAUAUGUGUGUGUAUGUAUAUAUAUAUAUAUAUAUACACACAUAUAUAUAUAUUUUUUUAACUGAAAAAACUAGUGGAGAUUAGAUGUCAUUGCCCUAGUUUUGGAAAUAAGACUAUGGUAUUUCUGAGAUAGGGUUUUUGUUUUCUCAAACUGCAAGAAGGAAGAAUGAGGGGAGCGUCCAGCAGCCAGAAAUCACUGGUUACUUCACCACUGUUCUUAUCUCCGCAAUUUCAUGGAUUGUUUCAGAGAAGAAAAGGAGACACCUCCCCACCAGAAAUAGUUUGGGGAUCGCCUGCCCAUCUGGGGAAGUCCUCAAAAGAAAACACACAAAGUACUUUGGAAAAGCCAUUGAGAUACCCAUUUUGAAACCCAAUCUCAAGCAACCGCAGUUAAGGUGGAAUACGCAUUUAAAAAGCCAUGCAAAUAUACAUUUGAAAGAGGAGUUAGAGGAGUCUGGGUUUUAUUCAGAACAGCAAAAAGAAGCAGGACUGUGGAAGGAAGAAAAUGUAAGGAAUUUUCUUGUGUGUUUCAACUUUUAGGACAAGCACAGUGCUGAUGAUAGAACUCUGUGUCAGGGUAUUCUCUGAAAUUUGUUCUUGUUUUACACAUACAUACACAUGCAAUGUUAAAUGUGUUUCUUUGGCUUUCCAUUUAAGAAAGCAUGAAAGGGGGCCUCCUGGGUGUCUCAGUUGUUACAUGUCUGACUUUGUCAUGAUCUCAGGGGUUCAUGAGUUGGAGCCCCCACACUGGGCUCUGUGGUGACAGUAGGGGUCUGCUUGGGAUUCUUUCUUUCUGCCCCUCCCCUACUUGUGUACUCUCUCAAAAUAAAUAAAUAAACUUAAAAAAAAACCA